CUCCAUUGCCUGGGAGCAGGAAGGUGGCGGAGGGGCAAGCAGAAGGCUUAGGGAAGAUAAUCUAUGGAAGCCAGCAGACGACACAUGGAAGCUACCCGGAGGUCUUGUGAAGAAACACCUGCUACAACUACAGAGGAUGAUUGUACUUUGUGUCUAUCCCCCGGUCCAGAUGGGAAUGAGCAGCCAUAUUAAUAUGGCUAGAUGCUGGAAGCGCACGGGAUCUUGGAAGCCAGCAUUGAAGACAGCAAGCCCUCUCCUUCCCCCAUCAACAUGGGUCUCAGAAGGACUGUGCAGAGCAGAGCCCUGCUUCUCCCACCCAAAGCAUCCACAGAAGAUUAAUAUGAGAAAACUGAGACACCAGAUGGUAUAUAACUUCCCGAAGAUUCUGCCGCUAGUAAUUGACAGAAGCAGGAUUGAACCAAGGCAGUUGGGAUCCAGAAUCUACUAUUAUACUCAUCUCAUUAUAGAUGUGUAUGUGUAAAAUAUGUAUAAAUCAUGUAUGUGCUUGUUUAUUGUCUAUCUGUCCCGUUGGGUGUAAGCUCCACAAGGACAGGACAUUGUUUUGUUUACUGUUCCCCACGCUUAGGACAAUGUCUGGUACAAUUAGAUUUUCAAUAAAAAUGUAUUGAAUGAA